ACCGGCAGGGCUGGAGCCUCAUCAAAUGAAUUACCCAAGUACGAGGCAACGUGGAAGACGAAUGAAGACUUGUGAAAAUUUCGAGAUCGUCUCCACUUGUUCGAGGCAACGAGGACGUCGCCGGAUUAGGCGGGGGAGGAUGUCACGGCCCGCUAGUUUUGACCCAACCCCUUGCCGAUUUCCCUUGGGUUGGGGAGGUUACAAAGAGUCCAAGUUGUAGCCCAAGUAGGGUUAGGCCCAAGAUGGCCCAAUUGUAUAGUGGUAGGUAGAGCUAUUUUUGGUAGGUAGGGUAGGUGGUGGUAGGUAGAGACAAUCAAGGGAUUGCUCCACUCCCAUCCGUUAGAUCAUAUCGAUCUCCACCGUCCAUUGAGGAGGUGGUCUUGUAUAAAUAGAGCAUUCGAGCAACACAUUCGGGAGAGGCUGACUUAGCUAUCGCGAGGGGCGAGAAGGAGCUAAGGCCGCACGGUUCUUUGUUAAGGGAACAAGUCCGUGACAGUAGGCU